rnacentral:rRNA from 1 species
ACGGAAUAGAUACCCUGGUAGUCCACGCGGUAAACGAUGAAUACUAGCCGAUGGGGUGUUAAAGCCUUAGUGGCGCAGCUAAACGCGAUAAGUAUUCCGCCUGGGAAGUACGGCCGCAAGGUUAAAACUCAAAGGAAUUGACGGGGGCCCGGCACAAGCGGUGGAGUAUGUGGUUUAAUUCGAUGCAACGCGAAGAACCUUACCUACUCUUGACAUGGUGGGAAUGGCGUAGAGAUAUGCCAGUGCCGAAAGGAACCCACACACAGGUGCUGCAUGGCUGUCGUCAGCUCGUGUCGUGAGAUGUUGUCUUAAGUGACGCAACGAGCGCAACCCUUGCCUCUAGUUACCAUCAUUCAGUUGGGGACUCUAGAGGGACUGCUAGCCUAUGG